rnacentral:rRNA from 1 species
GGCGCGUUUUUCCGGGAUUAUUGGGCGUAAGAGCUCGUAGGCGGUUUGUCGCGUCUGCCGUGAAAGUCCGGGGCUCAACUCCGGAUCUGCGGUGGGUACGGGCAGACUAGAGUGAUGUAGGGGAGACUGGAAUUCCUGGUGUAGCGGUGAAAUGCGCAGAUAUCAGGAGGAACACCGAUGGCGAAGGCAGGUCUCUGGGCAUUAACUGACGCUGAGGAGCGAAAGCAUGGGGAGCGAACAGGAUUAGAUACCCUGGUAGUCCAUGCCGUAAACGUUGGGCACUAGGUGUGGGGGACAUUCCACGUUUUCCGCGCCGUAGCUAACGCAUUAAGUGCCCCGCCUGGGGAGUACGGCCGCAAGGCUAAAACUCAAAGGAAUUGACGGGGGCCCGCACAAGCGGCGGAGCAUGCGGAUUAAUUCGAUGCAACGCGAAGAACCUUACCAAGGCUUGACAUGAACCGGUAAUACCUGGAAACAGGUGCCCCGCUUGCGGUCGGUUCACAGGUGGUGCAUGGUUGUCGUCAGCUCGUGUCGUGAGAUGUUGGGUUAAGUCCCGCAACGAGCGCAACCCUCGUUCCAUGUUGCCAGCGCGUAAUGGCGGGGACUCAUGGGAGACUGCCGGGGUCAACUCGGAGGAAGGUGGGGACGACGUCAAAUCAUCAUGCCCCUUAUGUCUUGGGCUUCACGCAUGCUACAAUGGCCGGUACAAAGGGUUGCGAUACUGUGAGGUGGAGCUAAUCCCAAAAAGCCGGUCUCAGUUCGGAUUGGGGUCUGCAACUCGACCCCAUGAAGUCGGAGUCGCUAGUAAUCGCAGAUCAGCAACGCUGCGGUGAAUACGUUCCCGGGCCUUGUACACACCGCCCGUCAAGUCACGAAAGUUGGUAACACCCGAAGCCGGUGGCCUAACCCCUUGUGGGAGGGAGCUGUCGAAAGUGGGACUGGCGAUUGGGACUAAGUCGUAACAAGGUAACC